rnacentral:rRNA from 1 species
AUUGCACGCUGGCGGCAGGACUAACACAUGCAAGUCGAACGAGUGGCGGACGGGUGAGUCUUGUCUGGGAAACUGCCUGAUGGAGGGGGAUAACUACUGGAACCGGUAGCUACUACCGCAUAACAUCGGCUGUGCCCAGAUGGGAUUAGCUAGUAGGUGGGGUAAAGGCUCACCUAGGCGACGAGCCCUAGCUGGUAUGACAGGAUGACCGGCCACACUGCAACUGAUACACGGUCCUGACGCCUACGUGAGGCAGCAGUGGGGAAGAUUGCACAAUGGGCGCAAGCCUGAUGCAGCAAUGCAGAGUGUAUGAAGAAGGCCGUCGGGUUGGAAAGUACUUUCAGCGGGGAGGCGGUACCCGCAGAAGAAGCACCGGCUAACUCCGUGGCAGCAGCCGCGGUAAUUC